AUUACGAUUCCACUCCGCUUCUAACUUACGCUGAGUUAUGUCGCCAACUGAGUUUUAUUACGCGCGCCUAAGUUGAUAUAAGAAUAAAAUAAAAGCCAUUUCGGCGGGAAGACAGCGAUGGUUCAAUAGAGCGGCAGGUGGUCAAAAGUGAGAAGUUACCGGCCAGCUAAUGACUUACGUCACUAUACAAGUUUGGUUUCAAUUACACCGGCACGAAUUGGUACUAAUAAAACGACUUCAUUGUUUCUAUAAACAUAACUAUAUAAGGCUGCGAUGCGAACGUAUUCGUGUAGGCUUUCUAUCAGACUGACUCGAGUAGAGACUUGGCGGUGGCGCGGGGGCGGGAAACCCGAGUUUACCUUCCAGAUAACACGAGAAAAUGAUUUGAACAUUCCAAGCUACUUGUGCUCAACCAGUCACCGAUUGAAGGCUAUGUUUGUAAGGUAUUUGUAUUUGUUACAACAUAUGUAGGUAUAUUGAAAAAAAUAAAGUUAUGUUAUGGAACGAGAAAUAAUUGAAUUUUAAUAGAAACCUGUUGAAACUUUUAUUGCAAUUGAAUUUUAAUAUACUAGAUUUGAUGUUAUAAUAAAUUGAUAUAAUAUUAGACCAUUAUUCAGAUGGAUGGUUUAUUCAAACGAGGAGUUGAAAGACUUCAACAACACGUAGAGAUAGAAACCCAGCCUAAAUUUUCAAUAUAUGUCAACAGAAAUACUUCCGAGAGUUGGAAUUAUGGAGCCCUAUCUUUGUAGAUACAUAAAUAGUUUUAUAUUUAAUUAACUCAAACGUAAUAAAAAAAUUAUAGAUCGUAUUUUA